rnacentral:rRNA from 1 species
AUUGAACGCUAGCGGGAUGCUUUACACAUGCAAGUCGAACGGCAGCGCGGACUUCGGUCUGGCGGCGAGUGGCGAACGGGUGAGUAAUGUAUCGGAACGUGCCCAGUAGCGGGGGAUAACUACGCGAAAGCGUAGCUAAUACCGCAUACGCCCUACGGGGGAAAGCAGGGGAUCGUAAGACCUUGCACUAUUGGAGCGGCCGAUAUCGGAUUAGCUUGUUGGUGAGGUAACGGCUCACCAAGGCGACGAUCCGUAGCUGGUUUGAGAGGACGACCAGCCACACUGGGACUGAGACACGGCCCAGACUCCUACGGGAGGCAGCAGUGGGGAAUUUUGGACAAUGGGGGCAACCCUGAUCCAGCCAUCCCGCGUGUGCGAUGAAGGCCUUCGGGUUGUAAAGCACUUUUGGCAGGAAAGAAACGUCGCGGGCUAAUACCCCGUGGAACUGACGGUACCUGCAGAAUAAGCACCGGCUAACUACGUG